GGGCUGGAGACGGAAGUGACGUCAGAGCUCGCGCAUGCGUGAGGGACGAUGGCGGAGGCGGCGGAGAGCGGAGCGAGACUCGCUCGGGAGCUGGAGGCCCCUGGAGGGACUGCAGCAGCCCUUGUUUGUGGCUUUGUACCUGCUGCACAACGACACGUGAGUGGCUUCUCUCCACCUGUGGCUUUACACCUGGGUUUGUCACCAGCAGCUCGAGCUGCAGCCGCCAGAACGAGAGGAGUUGGUUGUGAAUAACACGCGGUAUCUCUGGAAAAGAAUCCCUCCUGCCAUCAGAUCUAAACAAUGUCUGAAGUUCCUGAAGCAGCAGAAGCAGUGACAGCAGCAGCCUGGAUCGAUCCACAGGCAGGACAGUCUUGUCCCAGGCCAGGAUUUCACUGGAGUGUCAUCAGCUCCUUGGGAGUUGCUGAAGGUGAGAUGGAACUUUAUUCUGCAUUUGCUGUCCCUUUCCCACUGGAGCCAGAGUGUUGGCUCUGUGUCGUGCAGGACUUGAGCUGCUAAGGACAAGCUCUGAGGGUGUUUGGGAAUUAAGGUGGGAGAACUUCCUCUGAAAGUGUUUGAUUUGCUUUUUCAUCCCUCAGAAUUUCCAUGAUAUUUGGUAUGGAAUCUCUCAGAGGGGUUUAUCUCCACAUAAGCCCUGAAUAUGCCAGUAGGUUUCAGCUGGGAAAAAGGAGCUUCUGGUUUUUGUAUCUGAUGUGUCACGGGCUGGUUUAAAGUUUAGCUAAAAUCUCAGCCAGCUGUUCCCUGAAAUCAGGUUAAAGGAAGAUUGCCACACCCAGCUCACUUCUGCAGCACUUUAUCAGGAAGGCUGGCAAGUCACAGGAUUUCAGCUGCCUUAGGCUUGGGAAGAAGCCCCUGCUUUAGAAGCUUUCAGGCAACUUCUCAAAUGGAGUUCUCUUGGGAUCCAGCCUGUCCAUGGCAGCUUCCCAUCCAUCCUGGGAAAUUGGGCAGGGACCCCACUAAAUGCCCUCUGCACUGGGCACAGCUUUUCUCCCUGGAGAGGUGCUCCAGCAGCACUUGGCACACAGCAGCCGGUUUGUCCCAGUCCGUGUGACCUGGGAUUGAUCCUGAUUUAUUUGACUCUGGAGUCACUGAAGUGCUGGAUUAUGGAGAACAGACAACACUGUGGAUAAACCCCUCGUGUCACCUGGUGACUUUUGGACAGGGCUCAGGAAUUUGCAGGGGGUGCGCUCUGGAUAUUCCUGGGACAGGAUAUUCCCGCACCUGCUUGUUAGACAAGGAAUCCCAAAGCCAGUAAGUCAGUCCCAUCCCAUCUGUGCCAGUGGGGGGUGCGAGGGGGAACACGCACGGCUCUUUGAGACAUUCCCAACUGGAACCGGGACUGAGGGAGCACUGAAGCCACAAGGUCAGCGUGGAACGGCACCCCCAGGGAAUGCCGAGGCUUGCCAUCCCCAGGGAAUGCUGAGGCUUGCCAUCCCCAGGGAAUGCCGAGGCUUGCCAUCCCCAGGGAAUGCCGAGGCUUGCCAUCCCCAGGGAAUGCCGAGGCUUGCCAUCCCCAGGGAAUGCCGAGGCUUGCCAUCCCCAGGGAAUGCCGAGGCUUGCCAUCCCCAGGGAAUGCCGAGGCUUGCCAUCCCCAGGGAAUGCCGAGGCUUGCCAUCCCCAGGGAAUGCCGAGGCUUGCCAUCCCCAGGGAAUGCCGAGGCUUGCCAUCCCCAGGGAAUGCCGAGGCUUGCCAUCCCCAGGGAAUGCCGAGGCUUGCCAUCCCCAGGGAAUGCCGAGGCUUGCCAUCCCCAGGGAAUGCCGAGGCUUGCCAUCCCCAGGGAAUGCCGAGGCUUGCCAUCCCCAGGGAAUGCCGAGGCUUGCCAUCCCCAGGGAAUGCCGAGGCUUGCCAUCCCCAGGGAAUGCCGAGGCUUGCUGUGCCGUGGCACUUGGCAGCACAUCCCUGAUGUGCCAAAAAGAGGAGGGGAGAAGAUCUGGGUUAGGGGAGGACAUUUCUGGGAGGGACUUGGAAGAGGUGCUGAUCACCUCAUGGAAUCACAGGCUGGUUUGGGUUGGAAGGGACCAUGAAGACAGUCUGGACUCUGGCAUCCGAAUUCACAGCAAAGAGCACGUCCAGAAGCACCUCCUCACCCUCCUGCAUGUCAUGAGUGUCUUCCACGGCACCACCCGGCCUGUUUGGGAACGGGAACGGCUGCUGGGAGCUCUGGCAGCAGCACCUGGAGAGCAGGUAAAAAGAGCCAUGGGAUUGUUUUGGCUGCUGCUGGAUCUGGUUUUUCCAGAUGUCCCUCUGAUUGAUCCAUUUCACAGUGGGUUCCUAGGGCACAUUGGUGGGGG